rnacentral:rRNA from 1 species
UCAAGCGACUAAGUGUAUGUGGUGGAUGCCUUGGCGAUCACAGGCGAUGAAGGACGUGACAGCCUGCGAAAAGCUGUGGGGAGCUGGCAAAUAAGCUUUGAUCCACAGAUGUCCGAAUGAGGGAACUCACCUGCUUUGCAGGUAUCCCAUCCUGAAUAUAUAGGGAUGGGAGGCGAACGAAGCGAACUGAAACAUCUAAGUAGCUUCAGGAAAAGAAAUCAACCGAGAUUCCGAAAGUAGCGGCGAGCGAAAUCGGAUCAGCCCAGCACUCGAUAGCAGCCAACUUACGGGAACGGUCUGGAAAGUCCGGCCAUAGAGGGUGAUAGCCCCUUACUGGAAAAGGCAGCUGCGGUACUAAGUGUGCGAUAAGUAGAGCGGGACACGUGACAUCCUGCUCGAAGAUGGGGGGACCAUCCUCCAAGGCUAAAUACUCGUGAUCGACCGAUAGCGUACCAGUACUGUGAAGGAAAGGUUAAAAGAACCCCGGGAGGGGAGUGAAAUAGAUCCUGAAACCGCAUACAUACAAACAGUAGGAGCCUCGUUAAGGGGUGACUGCGUACCUUUUGCAUAAUGGGUCAGCGACUUACGUUUAAUGGCGAGCUUAACCGUAUAGGGGAGGCGCAGCGAAAGCGAGUUCGAACAGAGCGUUCAGUCGUUAGGCGUAGACCCGAAACCAGAUGAUCUAUCCAUGGCCAGGUUGAAGGUGUGGUAACACACACUGGAGGACCGAACCGACUAGUGUUGCAAAAUUAGCGGAUGAGCUGUGGAUAGGGGUGAAAGGCUAAACAAAUCUGGAGAUAGCUGGUUCUCCCCGAAAACUAUUGAGGUAGUGCCUCGUGUAUGACUCCAGGGGGUAGAGCACUGUUAUGGCUAGGGGGACAUGGCGUCUUACCAAACCAUGGCAAACUCCGAAUACUUGGAAGUUUGAGCACGGGAGACAGAGCACCGGGUGCUAACGUCCGGACUCAAGAGGGAAACAACCCAGACCGCCGGCUAAGGUCCCUAAUAUUGACUAAGUGGAAAACGAAGUGGAAAGGCUAAGACAGUCAGGAAGUUGGCUUAGAAGCAGCCAUCCUUCAAAGAAAGCGUAAUAGCUCACUGAUCGAGUCUUUCUGCGCGGAAGAUGUAACGGGGCUAAGUCAAUAACCGAAGCCGCGGAUUCACACUUGUGUGUGAGUGGUAGGGGAGCGUUCUGUAAGCCUGCGAAGGUGACUCGUAAGGGUUGCUGGAGGUAUCAGAAGUGCGAAUGCUGACAUGAGUAACGUUAAAGCGGGUGAAAAGCCCGCUCGCCGUAAGCCCAAGGUUUCCUGCUCUACGUUCAUCGGAGCAGGGUGAGUCGGCCCCUAAGGUGAGGCUGAGAAGCGUAACUGAUGGGAACAAGGUUAAUAUUCCUUGACCACCGCUGAAUGCGAAGGGGGGACGGAGUAUUGAAGAUCAUCCGGGUGUUGGAUAUCCCGGUUUGCGAGCGUAGGAGGCUGACAGGCAAAUCCGUCAGCGAAUCUCCGAGGCAAAGCAUCGAGCUCUCUUUUGAGCGAAGUGAUUGGAUGUGCUUCCAGGAAAAGCCUCUAAGCUCCAGUUCAGCGGGACCGUACCGCAAACCGACACUGGUGGGCGAGCUGAAUAUGCUCAGGCGCUUGAGAGAACUCAGGAGAAGGAACUCGGCAAAUUGACACCGUAACUUCGGGAUAAGGUGUGCCUUUGUAGCGUGGAGGGAGAAACACCCCGAGCGCGAAGAGGUCUCAGAUAAUCGGUGGCUGCGACUGUUUAUUAAAAACACAGCACUCUGCAAAGACGAAAGUCGACGUAUAGGGUGUGAUGCCUGCCCGGUGCUGGAAGAUUAAUUGAUGGGGUGCAAGCUCCUGAUCGAAGUCCCAGUAAACGGCGGCCGUAACUAUAACGGUCCUAAGGUAGCGAAAUUCCUUGUC